GUGAGGAAUAUUGGUCAAUGGGCGUGAGCCUGAACCAGCCAAGUCGCGUGAGGGAAGACUGCCCUAUGGGUUGUAAACCUCUUUUGUCGGGGAGCAAAGCCGCCACGUGUGGCGGUUUGAGAGUACCCGAAGAAAAAGCAUCGGCUAACUCCGUGCCAGCAGCCGCGGUAAUACGGAGGAUGCGAGCGUUAUCCGGAUUUAUUGGGUUUAAAGGGUGCGUAGGCGGACGAUCAAGUCAGCGGUCAAAUGUCGGGGCUUAACCCCGGCCUGCCGUUGAAACUGGUUGUCUUGAGUGAGCGAGAGGUAUGCGGAAUGCGUGGUGUAGCGGUGAAAUGCAUAGAUAUCACGCAGAACCCCGAUUGCGAAGGCAGCAUACCGGUGCUCAACUGACGCUGAUGCACGAAAGCGUGGGGAUCAAACAGG
rnacentral:rRNA from 1 species